GUGCCAGCAGCUGCGGCGGUAAUACGGAGGGUGCAAGCGUUAAUCGGAAUUACUGGGCGUAAAGCGCACGCAGGCGGUCUGUCAAGUCGGAUGUGAAAUCCCCGGGCUCAACCUGGGAACUGCAUUCGAAACUGGCAGGCUAGAGUCUUGUAGAGGGGGGUAGAAUUCCAGGUGUAGCGGUGAAAUGCGUAGAGAUCUGGAGGAAUACCGGUGGCGAAGGCGGCCCCCUGGACAAAGACUGACGCUCAGGUGCGAAAGCGUGGGGAGCAAACAGGAUUAGAUACCCUGGUAGUCCACGCCGUAAACGAUGUCGAUUUGGAGGUUGUGCCCUUGAGGCGUGGCUUCCGGAGCUAACGCGUUAAAUCGACCGCCUGGGGAGUACGGCCGCAAGGUUAAAACUCAAAUGAAUUGACGGGGGCCCGCACAAGCGGUGGAGCAUGUGGUUUAAUUCGAUGCAACGCGAAGAACCUUACCUGGUCUUGACAUCCACAGAACUUUCCAGAGAUGGAUUGGUGCCGUUCGGGAACUGUGAGACGUAGG
rnacentral:rRNA from 1 species